rnacentral:lncRNA from 1 species
CUCCACUGAAGUACAGAGUUAUACAGGAGCAUCGAACUGGAGCAGUAUUAGCAUUAGCCGAUAACCACUAUUUCCCCGUUCAGAGGUGAGUAUUAUCAGCCUGUAACCUGCUCCUAACACUGGCUAGCACUGCUGGAGCAGCAUUGUCAUCAGCCCAUAACCGCAAUAAGCGCUAGCUCUUUCCGUGUAGAUUUACAUCCAGUACUCAUUUGACAUUUGACUACAGUUUUGUUUACUUAGCUUUACUUAACUUAGUUAGCUACUCCCCACCACCACCCAGUGGCGAGACCUGGUGAAUUAGUAGUUCCUUAUAGGAACCUUAGCAACACUUUAGCAACCAUCUAGCCAUCAGUUAGCAACACCUAGCAACACCAUAGCAGCUACCACACAUCAUAGCAACAUCUUGGCAACCACAUUGAAACAGCUUAAUAACCACAUUGAAAUCACUUAGCAACACCAUAGCAACCACUUACCUGGGAUACCUUAGCGAUUAGUGUGAGCCAUAUUAGCCGCACAACCCUCCAGCAUUUCAUCCAAUUUUGCAAUCAAUCAAUUUUCUAUUUAUUACUGUUAAUGUUGAAUUUCAGAAUUAGCCAUCCAUCAUUUGUUGGAGGUGCAGAGCUGCAUUAUCCUAGCUAGCAUUUUCUUUAAUGGUAUUUAAUAUUAUUUUAGCUGCUAGCGAAUAAAAGCAGACAAAAAAGGCACUAAAUAUCUUUUUUGGGCUUUCCAUCCCAUCCCUAUGUUUUUUUGAUCUGGUUUGGGGUUGUAUUAUGAGCUGUGUUUGUUGAGGAACACAAACACCCAUUCACAAGGUUUCGCAACCAUAUCCAGCGAUGCAUCAUAGUCAGAGAGUUAUUGAUCCAUCCUCUUCGGUCCAUCUCCCAGGCCUCGCUCUCAAUCAGGCUCUCUUCAUCUGCUCCACCUCCACUUCAGAACAAAAACAAAUCUGUCUCAGGCAAUAUAACCGCAGGGGACAUUAUGUCUUUAAAGCAGGAGACAAGUGCAGGACGCAGGACUGAACCUCACAAUUACAAGAGUCGUGUUCCCUGUGGUUGUGAACAUCACGUUCAGGGGACAACAUGGCCCUGCUUCUGCUGCAAAUAUGGCUCUCCUGUUUGUCAGACUCAGUCUAUCACUCAGGAUGAAUGGUCUUGAUGGGGCGGAGUAACAAAACAUGGUCCCAGCUAUUGGGAAAAGGCACGGUUUAUCCCUCUAUAUCACUUUCGCAUCCUUGUUGUUGGACUCUUUGUGUCUAGUAUGGUUAUCAGGAGUCUGAAUGGCUGACCUUAGUCAUGGCUUAGCCGUUCCAAUAAACACUCCACCAAAAACA